rnacentral:rRNA from 1 species
UACGUAGGUGGCAAGCGUUGUCCGGAAUUAUUGGGCGUAAAGCGCGCGCAGGCGGUCCUUUAAGUCUGAUGUGAAAGCCCAUGGCUCAACCGUGGAGGGUCAUUGGAAACUGGGGGACUUGAGUGCAGAAGAGGAAAGCGGAAUUCCACGUGUAGCGGUGAAAUGCGUAGAGAUGUGGAGGAACACCAGUGGCGAAGGCGGCUUUCUGGUCUGUAACUGACACUGAGGCGCGAAAGCGUGGGGAGCAAACAGG